UACAGAGGUCUCAAGCGUUUGUUCGGAUUCAUUGGGCGUAAAGGGUGCGUAGGCGGCGCGGUAAGUCGGGUGUGAAAUUUCGAGGCUUAACUUCGAAACUGCAUUCGAUACUGCCGUGCUAGAGGACUGGAGAGGAGACUGGAAUUUACGGUGUAGCGGUGAAAAUGCGUAGAUAUCGUAAGGAAGACCAGUGGCGAAGGCGGGUCUCUGGACAGUUCCUGACGCUGAGGCACGAAGGCCAGGGGGAGCAAACGGGG
rnacentral:rRNA from 1 species